GUAAUGUGACUAUCAAUCAACAUUUCCUUAGAUUCACUCCCUAUUGGUAGUGUUCCAUCUGAUAUGACAGUUGAGUAUGAAAAUGAUAUUUGGACACAUGAAAUAAUAUCGCCUGAUUUACAGUAGGCCCUUCCAGUGAUAACAUUGAAGACAAAGUUAAUGUACAAUGUGACAACAGAAAUGAAUAGCUUAUGCCAGCCUGUGAAAAACAGUAAAGAGAAGUAGAUGCAAUAAAAAAUCAGUUGUUUCCAAAUGAUGGCAUCCGGCCCACUUUUGAUAACUACCCUAUGAUGCAAUAAUAACAUUUUGGACAACGUCUACUCUACACCGAACCUCUGUGACCGAACGCACUUCACUAAUCUAAGAUUAUUACUAGUUAUAUUAUUGAUUAACUCCAUUACAAGCAAUUAAUUAAAAUUGUUUAAUUUAUAUAUAUAAAUAUCUAAUUUAUAUGUAUAAAUGGAAUGGAAAGUCGCACAAUAUACCUUAAGGUAGAAAGGUUAGUUUUUCAAGCUAGGGAAACCGGAGUACCCGGGGAAAACCUAGAACCAACCACAAUUCUACUUACAUUAAUUUUCAAGAACAAUAACAUAGCCUUGACCUGAGCAGCGGAUAAGGGGCCGCAAGGCGCUAUAACGACCUCUAUUACUUGUUAUUUAAAUAACGACCUCUAUUACCUGUUAUUUAAAUUACGUGAAAAAUAAGCACGUCAUUAAAAACGCUACAAAUAAACAAUAAAACGUUUCACCGCAGCCGCAUAAAUAAGCCAACUAAAUAAAAAUCACAGCGGUAGCAAAAAUUGCAGCGGACUUGUCAGCCAAUAGUCAAUUAAAGGGCAUAUGACUCGAAAAUUGACGGUGUUAUUUUUUAGUCUAAUUUGAAAGAUCAUUGAAAACUUGCACACAUGCAUAAUGACUUACUUUAAAAUGUUAUAUAAUUUUGUCACUAUCAAAUAAAUUCGCUCAAAAUGAAUGAUGAGCACGAGAUUUGUCCACAACAACACCCAUGUAGGUUCUCUACUGAUUGUGUUUAGUCGUAUGAAAGAUAUACAGUUUUUAGGGCUAAAUCAUUAUGCAUAUGUGACGUAGAAAGUUGGUCCUUUGCAUAUCAUACAAAAUGAAAUAUCUUCAAACGAGGCAAGAAAACAAAAUCUAUCAAAGAAGUUACUUCUACAGUUUUCAAUGAUCUUUCACAUUAGACAAAGAAAUAACACCGUCAAUUUUCGAGUCAUAUGCCAUGGUCUAGAAACUUGCCAAACUUGAAAGCGUCUAUUAUUGUCUAUGUAGUAUUUAGUAUAAACCUACUAGUAGGCUAUCACAUAUCGUGGCUUCUGAUUGGCUACGCUACUAGUGGGCUAUUAGUGAUAGCCUACUAAUAGAAAAUUCAAAAUGGCGGAAAAUUCGCAUUUUGCACUUUUGCCGAAGUGUCUGAUGAUUUUUUUGGACGACUUGUUGAACAAUUCUGUACUAAAAAACCCCGAAAAAGCAACAAAAAUAUGGAAUGGCAAUUUUUAAGGGUAAGAAAAUAGACAAAAUAACAUACACUCAAUGAAAUUUUAAAAUUAAAACUGAAUUUUGUAAAACAUUUUACGCGA
rnacentral:lncRNA from 1 species